rnacentral:rRNA from 1 species
AGGUAAGCUACUAAGAGCGAAUGGUGGAUGCCUUGACUGGUAAAGGCGAUGAAGGACGUACUAGACUGCGAUAAGCUACGGGGAGCUGUCAAGAAGCUUUGAUCCGUAGAUUUCCGAAUGGGGCAACCCAAUGUAUAGAGAUAUACAUUACCUAUAUAGGAGCGAACGAGGGGAAUUGAAACAUCUUAGUACCCUCAGGAAAAGAAAUCAAUAGAGAUUGCGUCAGUAGCGGCGAGCGAAAGCGCAAGAGGGCAAACCCAGUGCUUGCACUGGGGGUUGUAGGACUGCAAUAUGCAAGAGGUAAGUUUAGCAGAACAUUCUGGAAAGUAUAACCAUAGAGGGUGAUAGUCCCGUAUGCGAAAAACAAACCUUAGCUAGCAGUAUCCUGAGUAGGGCGGGACACGAGGAAUCCUGUCUGAAUCCGGGUCGACCACGAUCCAACCCUAAAUACUAAUACCAGAUCGAUAGUGCACAAGUACCGUGAGGGAAAGGUGAAAAGAACUGAGGUGAUCAGAGUGAAAUAGAACCUGAAACCAUUUGCUUACAAUCAUUCAGAGCCCUAUGUAGCAAUACAGGGUGAUGGACUGCCUUUUGCAUAAUGAGCCUGCGAGUUGUGGUGUCUGGCAAGGUUAAGCAAACGCGAAGCCGUAGCGAAAGCGAGUCUGAAUAGGGCGCUUAGUCAGAUGCUGCAGACCCGAAACGAAGUGAUCUAUCCAUGAGCAAGUUGAAGCUAGUGUAAGAACUAGUGGAGGACUGAACCCAUAGGCGUUGAAAAGCCCCGGGAUGACUUGUGGAUAGGGGUGAAAGGCCAAUCAAACUUCGUGAUAGCUGGUUCUCUCCGAAAUAUAUUUAGGUAUAGCGUUGUGUCGUAAUAUAAGGGGGUAGAGCACUGAAUGGGCUAGGGCAUACACCAAUGUACCAAACCCUAUCAAACUCCGAAUACCUUAUAUGUAAUCACAGCAGUCAGGCGGCGAGUGAUAAAAUCCGUCGUCAAGAGGGAAACAACCCAGACUACCAGCUAAGGUCCCUAAGUCUUACUUAAGUGGAAAACGAUGUGAAGUUACUUAAACAACCAGGAGGUUGGCUUAGAAGCAGCCAUCCUUUAAAGAAAGCGUAAUAGCUCACUGGUCUAGUGAUUUUGCGCGGAAAAUAUAACGGGGCUAAAGUAAGUACCGAAGCUGUAGACUUAGUUUACUAAGUGGUAGGAGAGCGUUCUAUUUGCGUCGAAGGUAUACCGGUAAGGAGUGCUGGAGCGAAUAGAAGUGAGCAUGCAGGCAUGAGUAGCGAUAAUUAAUGUGAGAAUCAUUAACGCCGUAAACCCAAGGUUUCCUACGCGAUGCUCGUCAUCGUAGGGUUAGUCGGGUCCUAAGUCGAGUCCGAAAGGGGUAGACGAUGGCAAAUUGGUUAAUAUUCCAAUACCAACAUUAGUGUGCGAUGGAAGGACGCUUAGGGCUAAGGGGGCUAGCGGAUGGAAGUGCUAGUCUAAGGUCGUAGGAGGUUAUACAGGCAAAUCCGUAUAACAAUACUCCGAGAACUGAAAGGCUUUUUGAAGUCUUCGGAUGGAUAGAAGAACCCCUGAUGCCGUCGAGCCAAGAAAAGUUUCUAAGUUUAGCUAAUGUUGCCCGUACCGUAAACCGACACAGGUGGGUGGGAUGAGUAUUCUAAGGCGCGUGGAAGAACUCUCUUUAAGGAACUCUGCAAAAUAGCACCGUAUCUUCGGUAUAAGGUGUGGUUAGCUUUGUAUUAGGAUUUACUCCGAAAGCAAGGAAACUUACAACAAAGAGUCCCUCCCGACUGUUUACCAAAAACACAGCACUCUGCUAACUCGUAAGAGGAUGUAUAGGGUGUGACGCCUGCCCGGUGCUCGAAGGUUAAUUGAUGGGGUUAGCAUUAGCGAAGCUCUUGAUCGAAGCCCGAGUAAACGGCGGCCGUAACUAUAACGGUCCUAAGGUAGCGAAAUUCCUUGUCGGUUAAAUACCGACCUGCAUGAAUGGCGUAACGAGAUGGGAGCUGUCUCAAAGAGGGAUCCAGUGAAAUUGUAGUGGAGGUGAAAAUUCCUCCUACCCGCGGCAAGACGGAAAGACCCCGUGGACCUUUACUACAGCUUGACACUGCUACUUGGAUAAGAAUGUGCAGGAUAGGUGGGAGGCUUUGAGUAUAUGACGCCAGUUGUAUAUGAGCCAUUGUUGAGAUACCACUCUUUCUUAUUUGGGUAGCUAACCAGCUUGAGUUAUCCUCAAGUGGGACAAUGUCUGGUGGGUAGUUUGACUGGGGCGGUCGCCUCCCAAAUAAUAACGGAGGCUUACAAAGGUUGGCU